rnacentral:lncRNA from 1 species
CGAACGGACAGCACCUCCCCUGUCCGCCCAAGGCUCAACAACAGGAAUGUGUACAAGAAUUUACCCAGGAAUUUAAAUUCUAAACAUACACAUUCAACGAGGGCACAAACAGUGCCAACAACCAGAAGAGCAAGUAAUCCACGAGAUAUACAAGUGAAAUAAAGAGAGUACUUUACUAACUAUUACAAUAGUUACAUCAUUUUCCAAAGUGAAUACAUUUGAUCCUCAAAAUACAUAGCUCUCCGACCUCACCUACAUGAAUCUCUCUCAAUACAUAGGUGACUAAUGCAAAAAGGAAAGCUACUAUACUACCACGGUCUCACUGGUCGGGCGCGACGCCCUUGCCGCGGUCCUCUCUCUGCAGCCCUGAACCUACCACUGGAAAUAGAGUGGGGUGAGAACUAUCUUCCAUAGUUCCCAGUGGGCUCGGCCGCCGACUCUGCCGAUCUCCCCACUAGGUCCAAGUGGGCACAAGUAACAACAAAUAGAUAGAUAGAUAUGUAUCUGAAAGCUGUAAAUGCAGUAGUAGGAAAACUAUGCUACUAUGCCCAUAAUCAUGAAUAUGAAUGCAUGCAUCAUAUAAUAAAGGUUUGCUACCAUGCUAACAAAUUCGAUCCAUGUUCGAAUAGUAAUGUUCAAUGACAUUUAUAAACCUUUAACCUUUUUCAUUUACCCAAUCUGUGGCGAGGCCCUAGGGCUCGCCCAUGACUCACCUUCAAAUCCCAAAGUGGGGAGGGAGCUCCAAGUGCACCCAAGCCCGGGACCGUCUGCGGACCUCCAUGUGGUCUGGACCUCCAAGUGGUCCUAGUCGCGCGACACUCCGGAGUACUCGACGACAAUCCCCU